rnacentral:sRNA from 1 species
GGGCUGUGACCUCCGCCAUUGCCCCAGCUAAGCAGCGAGAGCUUGCUGAAGCCCAGAGGGUUGUGGGACCAUGAGGGCAGCUCUCUGGACCCUGGGACUCGGGCCCCUUCUUUUCAAUCUCUGGGCAGUCCCCAUUGGUGGACCAGGUGCUCUGAGGCUGGCGUACAGACACAGCACGUGCGACCGAGUGGCGUUGGUCCGACACCACGGGGCAUGGGGAUACGUGUGCAACCAGCAGUGGAUGCUGGCAGAGGCCUCUGUCGUGUGCAGGCAGCUGGGCUGCGGCCCUGCCGUGGGCGCCCCCAAGUAUGUCCCGCUGCCUGGAGAGAUGGCCCAGCCCUGGCUUCACAACGUGUCCUGCCGGGGCAACGAGUCCUCCCUCUGGGAGUGCAGCCUUGGCUCAUGGUGCCAGAGCCCGUGCCCCCACGCAUGGGUGGUGGUCGCGCUGUGCUCCAAUGGCACUUUCCGGGAGCUCUGGCUGGUGAAGGGCCGCAGUCCCUGCGCGGGACUCCCCGAGAUCAGAAACGUGAAUGGGGUGGACCGCCUCUGUGGCCUGCAUGUGGAGGAGGCCAUGGUGUUCUGCCGAGAGCUGGGGUGCGGCCCUGUGCUCCAGGCCCCCCGCCGGGACGUGGGCGUCAUCAGGAAGUACCUGGCCUGCAGGGGUACCGAGCCCACCAUCCGCAGCUGCAGACUGGACAACAACUUCCGCAGCGGCUGCGACCUGCGGCUGGUCGCAGAGGUGGACUCCUCGGGUGACGCUGCCACCUGAUGUUCCCAGUGACCCUUGGGAUGAUGCUGGGCCUGGACCUGGGGAGGGCAGGGGGAAGGGGGGUGGGCGUUCCCACGGAUGGGCCCCCCUGUCCUGCAUGAGACAUUGGGCGCAGAGGUGGGAAAGGGCCUCAGCUCUCACGCUGGUUCUCAGCAGAGUGGAGCUGAGUUUCUGGUGGCCCCACAGAGGUGUCCUGGCUCAGAACCCGCAGGCCAUCUAGGGGUCCUGGCUGCCGCUGCAAGUCUGAGCCGCCUCAGCUGUGAUCUCUGCAUGUCUAACAUGGAUCGGGGUUGGGUAGAGGUCACUUCUUCCCAGCCCUGCCUCAAGUGUGUGUGAGAUGCACUGGUCUCACAGCUCCUGGCCUUGUUGUGCAUAUGAGGAGCAGCUGAAAUGAGGUGGAUAGUCUGCCUGCUGCGGUACCCCAGAGAGGGUGGUGCUCAGUGGACCAAGGGGUGCCCUGACCUCACCUCUGGGAUUGCAGAGGGUGUUGCUGUCAUGGCCCCGGACAGGCAGAGGCUGUGAAAUACGUGGGCACCUGCAGCAGGUGACCCUGACCCUGACCUUGGUGAUGCGGCCAAGGACGUCUGCUCUGCUCUGGGUGCCGGGUGGAAGGGCCUGUGGCUGCAAGUUCCUGCCUGUGCUUGGCAGACCCUCUGCCUAGUUGCAGGUGAUAGCCCCUGGCUGAAGCCUUCUGCAGUCUGAGGCUCAGGGCCAGGCUGUUGACCUGAGAACACCUGUCUCCUGCCUGAGAGGACGUCUGCCCCCAGGACACACCGAGGCCCGACUGGUGGGCGGCGAGCACCCCUGCGCCGGGCGCCUGGAGGUGAGGCGGGGCCUGACCUGGGGCACCGUCUGUGAUGCGGACCUGGACCUGGCCACGGCCCACGUGGUGUGCCGGGAGCUGCAGUGCGGGGCGGUCGUGUCCACACCCAAGGGUGCCCGCUUCGGCCGGGGCUCGGGGCCGGUGUGGACGGAGGCCUUCCGCUGUGUGGGCAACGAGUCGCUGCUGUUCCACUGCCCGCGGGGGCGCGGGAGCCAGUGUGGGCACGGCCACGACGCGGGGCUCAGGUGCUCAGGUGAAGUCCUGUGUGUGGGCUCUGAAGGCUCAGCCCUGCCUUGUUCUCUGUCAAAUCCCUUCGUGCCCUAAAGGUGCCUCUGGCCAGUAGGUGUGGGUGCUUUUGAUGUUUGCUUCUGUUGGUUGAAAGAAGCGCAGGGAAGAGACUGGGUGUAGAGUGAUGUACCCCAAGGCUGCAGCUAAGAUCAAAUUCUUCUGGAGAGCUGUGUGAGCUGGAUGCUGAUGCAGAGGAGGGUGGGGGAGCUGGUGAGACCAAGGCUGGGCUCUGUGCCCAUCCCACUGGGUGUGAAGGAAGGAAAUGACCACAGACAGCCAUGUUCUGGGUUGGCCGUCUGCAAGCCAGGCUGGCUCCUCCUCUCCCCCAGAGUUCAGGAUGGUCAACGGCAGCAGCAGCUGUGAGGGCCACGUGGAGCUCCAGGUGCAGGGGUCCUGGGCACCCCUCUGUGCCACCCACUGGGACAUAGCAGAUGCCACCGUCCUCUGCCACCAGCUCAACUGUGGCAACGCGGUGGCCGCACCUGGAGGAGGCCAUUUUGGGGACGGGGACGCUGCCAUCUGGCCUGACGCCUUUCACUGUGAGGGGACAGAGCCCUACUUGUGGAAUUGCCCAGUAAGCACCCUGGGGGCCCCAGCCUGUGCCCCGGGAAACACAGCCUCCGCGGUCUGCUCAGGUCUGCCCCACGCCCUGCGACUGAGGGAAGGACAGAGCCGCUGUGACGGCCGCGUGGAGGUCUCCCUGGAUGGCGUGUGGGGCCGCGUCCUGGACGAUGCCUGGGACCUGCACGGCGCGGGCGUGGUGUGCCGGCAACUCGGGUGCGGAGGGGCCCAGCAAGCCUAUGACGCACCUGCCCCCAGCCGCGGAUCCGUCCAGGUGGCGCUGAGCCGCGUGCGCUGUCUGGGCACCGAAACCCGCCUGACUCAGUGCAACGUGUCCGCGACCCUGCAGGAGCCCGCGGGGACCUCGCGGGACGCUGGCGUGGUGUGCUCCGGUGAGGGCGGAACCGCGUCCCCCAUGGCCCGUCGCCACGGGAUCCCGGGCGCCCUGACUCUGUCUCUCCACAGGGAGCCUCAGGGUGCGGCUGGCCGCGGGGCCGGGGCGCUGUGCGGGGCGCGUGGAGGUGCUGCACGGGGGCGCGUGGGGCACCGUGUGUGGCGAUGCCUGGGACCUGCGGGACGCGCACGUGGUCUGCAGGCAGCUGGGCUGUGGCCGCGCCCUGAGCGCCCUGGGGGCCGCACACUUCGGAGCCGGGGCAGGGCGCAUCUGGCUGGACGAGCUGGGCUGCCAGGGCCACGAGUCUGCGCUGUGGCAGUGCCCGUCGGCGGGCUGGGGGCGGCACGACUGCAGGCACAAGGAGGACGCCGGCGUCUUCUGCUCAGAGUCGGUGGCUCUGAGGCUGCGAGGUGGGACCUGCUGCUGUGCUGGGUGGCUGGACGUGUUCUGCAAUGGGACCUGGGGCGCCGUGUGCAGCAAUGCCCUGAAGGACCUCUCCUUGUCCAUCAUCUGCAAGCAGCUGGGGUGUGGGGAGUGGGGCUGGCUGGAGAACAGGCCCUUCCCCUCUGCGGGCACCGGGACCGCCUGGGUGGACAACAUCGAGUGCUGCAGGCUGCCCAACUCCACUCUGUGGCAAUGCCCUUCCCACCCAUGGCACCCGCACUCUUGCGACCUUUGAGAGCAGGUCUGGAUUACCUGUGCAGGUGGGCAUUAGAGGUCUCUGGGGGUGCCCGGGAAGAGGUUUAUCUGUCCUGACAGGUCACUUACAGGGGAUGCCAUUCAAUCAGAGCCUGGGCCUGGGGGUCACUAGGAUCCACAGCCUUCCUUCUGAAGCUUCUCUGGGCACCGAAGCUCUCAGAGCUGCUGUUUAACCCGCAGAAAAGGCAGGAGAAGUUCCUGAGGACCCCGGGGAGCCCCUCAACUGCUCCUCCUCGCUCGGCUGCCCAGGUACCCCUCUGUCCUUGUCGCUGUCCUCCUUCCCAUCCCGGUCCAGCCCCCGCAGUGACCGCAGCCCCUUUUGCAGAGGAGGGCGCACUGCGCGUGCGCGGGGGCGAGGACCGCUGCUCCGGGCGCGUGGAGCUCUGGCACGCGGGCUCCUGGGGCACCGUGUGCGACGAUGGCUGGGACCUGGCGGACGCGGAGGUCGUGUGCCGCCAGCUGGGCUGCGGUCGGGCCGUCGCCGCCCUGGGGGCCGCCGCCUUUGGCCCUGGCUCCGGGCCCGUGUGGCUGGACGAGGUGGGGUGCCGGGGCAGCGAGGCGUCCCUGUGGGGCUGCCCUGCGGAGCGGUGGGGACGCGGAGACUGCGCGCACAAGGAGGACGCGGGCGUGCGCUGCUGGGAGCCUGGCCCAGGCCCCCCACUGCCUGCAGCUCCCUUCCGGACAUUCUGGGUGGUCAGUGUCGUCCUGGGAGCCCUUCUUGGUCUUCUCCUUCUGGGCCUCAUGGCCUUUCUGAUUCUGCCUCGAGUCACGCAAGCCAUGCAGAGGGGUCUGGGAAGAUCCGAGGUAUCUCCUGGAGAAGCCAUCUAUGAUGUCAUUGGGGAAAUGCCGCUAGCAGGACUGUACGAGGAAAUCACGGAGGCCGAGGCUGUGCUCCAAGAUGAGGAGGACGGAAGUGUGGUGAAGGUGGACACAGAAGCCGCAGUUUCAGGGGAGGUGUCUAACCUCCUGGAGGGACAGUCUAUACGUGCGGAGGGAGGACACAGCAGACCUGUUUCUCAGGGAUAUGACGAGGCUGCGUUUCCUCUGGAGGAGAUGACGUUGUAAAGCACCCUGAGGAUGAGAUACACCAGCUGGCUGUCGAAAUCACAGCUCUUCAUUUUCUUGUAAAAUUGUAGUGGAUUUCGUGAGAACACCUUGGAUGCCUUUCUCUUGCAAUGUCCUCCACGUCCAUAUAAAAUCCAGUCCUUCCAGGCCCUGCCUGGCUCUAACCCUCAUCCCCUUCGAGGGCCAUCUGCUGUGGACAGUCGUGCUGUGUAACCUUCAGAUUUCCCACACAUUACAGCAAAUGCAAAUACACAUAGAAAUCAGUGGUUCCAUUUGUGGUUUAGAGACACAUGGUGCCAUCUUCAUCUUCUGCUCCACAGCUCGCUUCUGGCACCCAGCAGUGGGUUGCAGAGCUCCCCAUGCCAGAACCUUCCUCUUUUUUCUUAAAAACUCUUCUUAAUUGAAUCCAAAGUAUCUUUUAAAUGUUCUACUUGUGUAAUCAUGUCAUCUGUGAAUAUUCAGAUUUAUCUUCUCCUUCCAG